CCCUUAGAUGUUCUGGGCCGCACGCGCGCUACACUGACGGAGGCAGCGAGCGUGUCCUUCGCCGGCAGGUGCGGGCAAUCUUGCGAGUCUCCGUCGUGCUGGGGAUAGAUGGUUGCAAUUGUCGAUCUUGAACGAGGAAUUCCUAGUAAGCGCGAGUCAUCAGCUCGCGCUGAUUACGGCCCUGCCCUUUGUACACACCGCCCGUCGCUACUACAGAGUGCCCGUGUCCAAGAAACGGUCGGACCUGUGCGGCCUCUCCGGGCGACCGGAGGGCCGUUACGGGGAAGACCCUUUAUUUGACGCGGGUCGAUGAAGUAAAAGUCGUAACA
rnacentral:rRNA from 1 species